GAGAGAGAGGCAGGAAAGAGACACGGCGGCGACGUUUAGGGUUCCGCCGCAAACAAAACGACGGUGACGACUGUGGUUGACGUCGCAAGCUCCGGUUCCGGCAAGAGAUAAGUGGAUGCUAUUGUGGUUAAUAGUCAUGAUAAGAGGAUGCAAUGACUUUUGUGUAUUCCUUUUUGUCACCGUCCCUUCUACCGCCUUACCUAACCUUCUAAUUCGGCCGUUUCGAACCUCCUUCAACCGGGUUUCAAGGUGGUGGUGAAAGCCUGAAUCAACUCUAUAAACGUUGUACAAAUUCACUGCAAGCGAUUGGCAGUAAACACCAAGGGGAGCGGGUUGUGGUGGUGACUCAUGGUGGUGUGAUCAGAGCACUUCAUGAGUGGGCUUCUUUAGGUACAGGACACCGAGCAGGAAGGAUACUGAACAGUCAAUGUAUUACACUUAUCGGAUCCCGACAAAUAGGUCAUCAAAUCAUGGGGGGAUGUCAGUCAGUCAUCUGAAUGGA